AUACGGAGGGUGCGAGCGUUAAUCGGAAUUACUGGGCGUAAAGCGCACGUAGGCGGUUUGUUAAGUCGGAUGUGAAAUCCCCGGGCUCAACCUGGGACCUGCAUCCGAUACUGGCGGGCUAGAGUCUGGUAGAGGGGGGUAGAAUUCCUGGUGUAGCGGUGAAAUGCGUAGAUAUCAGGAGGAAUACCAGUGGCGAAGGCGGCCCUCUGGACUGAGACUGACGCUGAGGUGCGAAAGCGUGGGGAGCAAACAGGAUUAGAAACCCUAGUAGUCC
rnacentral:rRNA from 1 species